rnacentral:rRNA from 1 species
CGCAUCUGUGCAUGCAGCAUAUCAAUAAGCGGAGGAAAAGAAACUAACAAGGAUUCCCCUAGUAACGGCGAGUGAAGCGGGAAGAGCUCAAAUUUGAAAUCUUAAAGGGUUUCCCUUUACGAAUUGUAGUUUAAAGAAGUGUUUUCUGUUGAGGUUUUGGUAAAAGUUCUUUGGAAUAGGACAUCAUAGAGGGUGAGAAUCCCGUAUUUGACCUUUACUUUCAACUUUGUGAUACACUUUCAAAGAGUCGGAUUGUUUGGGAAUGCAGUCCAAAAUGGGUGGUAAAUUUCAUCUAAAGCUAAAUAUUGGCGAGAGACCGAUAGCGAACAAGUACCGUGAGGGAAAGAUGAAAAGAACUUUGAAAAGAGAGUUAAACAGUACGUGAAAUUGUCAAAAGGGAAGCGUUUGACACCAGUGUUGUUUUUCUGAAAAUCAAUUAAAGAACUGUUUAUGCUAAGUUGUUUAGACUUUAUCAGCUAUCUGUUUAGUUUUGAGCUUUUCUUUAAUGCACUUUUCAGUUAACAAGUCAACAUCAAUUUCCUUUUGCUGUAAAAAAGCUUGAGGAAGGUGGCUUGAGAUUCGUCUUAAGUGUUUAUAGCCUCUUGCCUAUGCAGUCGGAGAGAUUGAGGUCUGCAGCGUAGAUCCUUCGGGGCUAAAUGCAUUUGUGCUAAGUUAUAGCAUUUAUAGACAACUUGUUGACUAUGAUUUGUCUUGUAGCUUACUCGCUUAUGUUAUUUUACCUACGCUUAGGAUGUUGACAGCAGUAUAGACUGU